UGGGGAAUAUUGGACAAUGGGGGGAACCCUGAUCCAGCCAUGCCGCGUGUGUGAAGAAGGCCUUUUGGUUGUAAAGCACUUUAAGCGAGGAGGAGGCUACCGAGAAUAAUACUCUUGGAUAGUGGACGUUACUCGCAGAAUAAGCACCGGCUAACUCUGUGCCAGCAGCCGCGGUAAUACAGAGGGUGCGAGCGUUAAUCGGAUUUACUGGGCGUAAAGCGUACGUAGGUGGUCUUUUAAGUCGGAUGUGAAAUCCCUGAGCUUAACUUAGGAAUUGCAUUCGAUACUGGGAGACUAGAGUAUGGGAGAGGAUGGUAGAAUUCCAGGUGUAGCGGUGAAAUGCGUAGAGAUCUGGAGGAAUACCGAUGGCGAAGGCAGCCAUCUGGCCUAAUACUGACACUGAGGUACGAAAGCAUGGGGAGCAAACA
rnacentral:rRNA from 1 species